UACGUAGGGUGCAAGCGUUAAUCGGAAUUACUGGGCGUAAAGCGUGCGCAGGCGGCUUUGCAAGACAGAUGUGAAAUCCCCGGGCUUAACCUGGGAACUGCAUUUGUGACUGCAAGGCUAGAGUACGGUAGAGGGGAUGGAAUUCCGCGUGUAGCAGUGAAAUGCGUAGAUAUGCGGAGGAACACCGAUGGCGAAGGCAAUCCCCUGGACCUGUACUGACGCUCAUGCACGAAAGGCGUGGGGAGCAAACAGG
rnacentral:rRNA from 1 species